CAAGGAUAUAUGUCCACAGCGCUGGGGCCAGGAAGCUGCAGCUGGUGCUAGGUUAAUUUCCAGAAUUAGGCUGCGGUCCCUUUUCAUAAAUUCCCCAAUAAUUAGAAUAGCCAUUAAACUGUGACUUUUUAAGGGGGAGAGAUUUCAUUAUAGAUCCAGUUUUGCCUUGGGCUGCUGUGGAUCAUUUCACAGAAAUUCAGGGUUGGAAUGGCCCUGAAGGGUCAUCCAGCGCCAGAAUCUCCACCAUUAUAGCCCCCCGCUUUUUUUCUUUUUCUUUUUUAGCAGCCCAGCUUAAAGAAAGAAAGAAAGAAGAAAAAAAAAACCCUGCUAGACGUUGGAUGUACAGCCAAACACCUGGGUUGAGAUCUGAAUGCAGAAAACAGGCAUGGAAUGCCAGGAAUGCAGCAUCAGUGUCUAAGCUGUGGCCUCCCAGGACUUGGUUUCCAGAGCGUUUUGGCCUGAGCACUACAAGCUUUCAAGAAUUUCAGCCGAAGAAUGCUAUCCACAGAUUGCUCAGCUACGUGCAUCCUCCCCACGGCUGUGAAGUUUGGCAUGGGUGUUCUAUUAUUGCUCUGGGAUCAGAUUUUGGAAUUUUAUUAAUAUUAAUAUUCUUUUCUGCAAGGAUUUGGAAGCGGGGUCUGGAGCAAUACUGGUUUCUCCAGGUUCAUCAUUAUUCCCUGCUGACGUGCAUGAUUGCCCUCUUUCUGUCAAUUUUGACCCCAUUUGCCACGUUGACUCAUGUCUUUCUUAUCCUGAGGGCAGGUCCUUGUGCAGUGCAUGGAAAAGGAGUAUGACUAUAGGUGAAGGAAUAUGUUUAGAAUAGCUAUAAAUUUGCAGUUGCCACAUUAGUUGGGGUUAAGAACUCUGUUUACAUUAAUUUUUCAAACUAAAAUAAGCUCGGCUUCAAGAGGGGGGAUUUGAUUUUUGUCUCUUUUGGGACUCCUUCUCUGAUGCCCCCCUACCCUGGGUUGUGAAAGUUCUGAGGACCACAUUGGCCAGCAUACUGGGGAAGGUGCUCUGGUCCCCACCUCACACCGGCCACCCUGAUGUGCUAAUUGUCCAGUCCGACAUGGUCUGGCUAGGGUAGCUUUGCUAUUUUUAUAUCCAGCUUGAGCACAAGAUCAUUGCAAGAGCUGAAAUCCCUGGGUCCUGCCUUGGAGGUCUGCUAGCUUCCUGCUGUCCUCCCAGGACACUGGACCUUGCUAAUUAUGAAACCCCUGAGACACCAUCUUUUCCUUGUUCUGGGGAUUCUGCCCCUCUCUGUUAUGGGUUGUAUUGUAUCCCCUCCAAAAUGGAUAUGUUGAAAUCCUAACUCCUAGUGCCUCAGAAUGUGACCUUAUUUGGAAAUGGGGUAAUUGCAGAUGUAAUUAGUUAAAUUAAGAUGAGGUCAUUCUGGAGUAGAGUAGCCCCCCUCCUUUUUUAAUCAGAAGAGAAAAGAUGCUCAGGGAAAAGGACAUGUGAUAACAAAGGCAGAGAUGGGAGUUAUCCAUCUGCAAGCCAAGGAACACUUGGGACUGCCACUGCCAGCAAACCACUGGAAGCUGGGAAGAGGCCAGGAAGAAUCCCCGACAUGUUUCUGAGGGACCAAGGCCCUGCAGACACCUUGAUUUUGAACUUCUUGCCUUUAAAAUAGUGAGACAAUAAUAUGCUGUCUUAAGCCACCCAGUAGGUGAUACUUUGUUAUGGGAGUCCUAGGAAACAAGUAUACCCUCUAUCUCAGGGUGAGAAGCUUGCCCGUUCCUCCACCCUCCAGGAGCACCCAGUAUAACCCCUCCUCAAUGGUCAUCUGAAUGGGCACUCACAAUAUUGGGUACCCUUCUCAGAGGGUGAGUGUUGCAAAGGUGAUGCUGAGACCAGCCACUUUUCUUCAACCCUGUAAUUUGGUUCUAUCACCAUUCAGUUCCAAGCAGAGCUAAAUCAUAUAUAGCAGGUGACCAGGGCCAGAGAGAGUUUGGAGCCAACAUCCAAAUACACAAAUUUUCCUUUCAGUUUGCUCUUCUGCCACAGAGACCAAGGUGAGACCCUGGUUUGGUGAAAGGUGUUUUUCAGAAUGCUGUAGAGCAGGGCUUUCUGUGGGAAAUAAAAACGUAUGAAAGUCAAAUGGUUGUGAAAUG
rnacentral:lncRNA from 13 species